rnacentral:rRNA from 1 species
GUGUCAGCAGCCGCGGUAAUACGUAGGGUGCAAGCGUUAUCCGGAAUUAUUGGGCGUAAAGAGCUCGUAGGCGGUUUGUCGCGUCUGCUGUGAAAACCGGAGGCUCAACCUCCGGCCUGCAGUGGGUACGGGCAAACUAGAGUGCGGUAGGGGAGAUUGGAAUUCCUGGUGUAGCGGUGGAAUGCGCAGAUAUCAGGAGGAACACCGAUGGCGAAGGCAGAUCUCUGGGCCGUAACUGACGCUGAGGAGCGAAAGCGUGGGGAGCGAACAGGAUUAGAUACCCCAGUAGUCC